rnacentral:lncRNA from 1 species
UAUAUAUAAAGAGAGAGAGAGAACUAGGUUACUGUAUUAUUAAUAGCAUUAAGUCAUUGAUACUAUUAGAUUUUUGGCCCUUGGGUGAAAGAAUAUGCGGUUAGAAUGAUAAUAAUUUUCUGAAAUUGAGUAAAUUUUUGGUGGAAUAGUAUGAUAUAAUGAGUGAAAAUAGUCAAAGAAGUAGAUCUAACAGUGAAAAAUUUGGUAGCACGUACAAUGCGCUCGGUGCUAUUCGAGCAUCCAGCCUGGCUCUAUAUAUAUAAUUGAGCUUUUAAAAGCACAGAAGCUCAAUGUAUUUGUAAACUUUUAACUAUUGGAUUGUAUCAAGAUCCGUACAAUAUUAGUAAAAGGAGCUUAAUGGGACACUUCGUUAAUAGUGCUACACGAAUUUUGAGGCGAUCCGAUAGCUGAAAAAUCACAAGCACGAAUGUUCUUGUACUAGAGAGAGAGAUUUGUGAGAAUGCUAUCGGUAGUAAAUGACUCGGUUUACUACCGAUUUAUUUUCGAUAAUAGAGCUUUCAAAUUGACGAUCGACGCUGUUAAACAUGAUCUAAACUAUUUAAACUAUUUAGAAAUCAAAUUUCACGCUCUUUCAAUAUUGUUCUCUUGUCCACCAAGUGAACAGAAAAUAAAUGCAUGGCUGAAAUUUUUGUAUUUAAAAUCUAUAGUUUAGAUCUUGUUUUAAAUAGUUUAAAAAAUUUUUUAACAAAAAUUUAGUUGAUUUGGACUAUUCUAUAUCGUUAAACGAGCAAAUGUACCAUACUGACCAUUAAAGUUAUAGAUUUUGUGAUCCUUUAAUCGUUCCGUUAGUGAUGGCAAAAAAAUAUGAAAUUUAAUUUCUAUUUAGUUUAAAUGGUCUACAUUAUAUUCAAUGAUACUGAUCGUGAAUUUAAAAAUUCUAUCAUAAAAAAUAAAUCAGUAGUAAACUAAAUCAUUUACUACCUGAGUCAAACUCUCUCUCUCUAUAUUGAGCUUCUGUGCUUUUAAAAGUACAAGAAUAUUUAUGCUUGUGACUUUUUUAGUUGUUGGAUCGCCUCAAAAUUCAUAAAGCAUUGUAAAUGAUGUGUCCCGUUAAAUUUUUUUUUAAUUAGUGUUGCACAAAUCUUAUGAUGAUCUGACGACUAAAAAUUUAUAAGAAUGUGAAGUUUCUGUGAUUAUAAAAGUAGUUAUAUAUAGAGAGAGAGAGAGAGAGAGAGAAGAGAGAGAGACGUAUGAUUUCUUGGUUUCUUUUUUUUCCCUUAGACACAGACAAAACUAUCGAGACACACCUUUCACUCUACACACGUGUGUGUUUUGUACGUGUGAAUGAAUAUUUAGGAGAGUAAAUCUAUGAUUAUAUAUUCGAGAACAAAAUGCAUAAAGAUCUCUAAAUGUCUAAAUUAUGCAGUAUAUUUCUUCUAUUUACUGAUUAAUUAUAUAAUAUUUGGCAGAUACUCAUACUUGGCCUUCAAAUUAUUUUUUUAGAAAUAAGAUAAAUUUCGCCGUGUGUAAACUAUAUUGUCCUAUUAAAUUAGAUUAUGUCCCUCUAAUUUAUUAUCAUUAGAGGACCAUUAGAUAACUGUUUAUAUUUUCAAUUUUGUCAUUAUAAAUAUAUUCCUCCAAAAAUCACAACAGUAUAAUAUAAGAGAAGUAAAAAUAUUAAAAACUAACCAGAGUUAAGUAUUUAAUCUAUGAUUAACUAAAUUUUUCUAACGGAUUCUAAUAGCAUGGAUGUAUUUAAAAAUAUUAGGAUUUUAAUAGAAAUAUACAUAAAAGUUGAACUUUAUAAAAAUAUAUUUGUAAUUCACUAUAUUUAUAGCUAGGAAUCUGUAUAUUAUUAACCCUUAAUUAUAAAUAUUGCUAAUAUUUUGUAAGGAGCUAAACUCAAACUCCUACAAUAUUC